AUGAACUCUGGCGGCGUGCCUAAUACAUGCAAGUCGAGCGAACGGACGAGAAGCUUGCUUCUCUGAUGUUAGCGGCGGACGGGUGAGUAACACGUGGAUAACCUACCUAUAAGACUGGGAUAACUUCGGGAAACCGGAGCUAAUACCGGAUAAUAUUUUGAACCGCAUGGUUCAAAAGUGAAAGACGGUCUUGCUGUCACUUAUAGAUGGAUCCGCGCUGCAUUAGCUAGUUGGUAAGGUAACGGCUUACCAAGGCAACGAUGCAUAGCCGACCUGAGAGGGUGAUCGGCCACACUGGAACUGAGACACGGUCCAGACUCCUACGGGAGGCAGCAGUAGGGAAUCUUCCGCAAUGGGCGAAAGCCUGACGGAGCAACGCCGCGUGAGUGAUGAAGGUCUUCGGAUCGUAAAACUCUGUUAUUAGGGAAGAACAUAUGUGUAAGUAACUGUGCACAUCUUGACGGUACCUAAUCAGAAAGCCACGGCUAACUACGUG
rnacentral:rRNA from 1 species